GACGAACGCUGGCGGCGUGCUUAACACAUGCAAGUCGAACGAAGAGCGAUGGAUGCUUGCUUCUAUCAAUCUUAGUGGCGAACGGGUGAGUAACGCGUAAUCAACCUGCCCUUCAGAGGGGGACAACAGUUGGAAACGACUGCUAAUACCGCAUACGAUCUAACCUGGGCAUCGAGGAAAGCUGAAAGGUGGCCACUACAUGUAAGCUAUCACUGAAGUAGGGGGGUGCGUCGGAUUAGCUAGUUGGAGGGGUAACGGGCCACCAAGGCGAUGAUAAGUAGCCGGUCUGAGAGGGUGAACGGCCACAAUGGGACUGAGACACGGCCCAGACUCCUACGGGAGGCAGCAGUGGGGAAUCUUCCGCAAUGGACGAAAGUCUGACGGCGCAACGCCGCGUGAGUGAUGACGGCCUUCGGGUUGGAAAGCUCUGUUAAUCGGGACGAAAGGCCUUCUUGCGAAUAGUGAGAAGGAUUGACGGUACCGGAAGAGAAAGCCACGGCUAACUACGUG
rnacentral:rRNA from 1 species